rnacentral:rRNA from 1 species
UACAGAGGGUGCGAGCGUUAAUCGGAAUUACUGGGCGUAAAGGGCGCGUAGGUGGUUUAUUAAGAUGGAUGUGAAAUCCCUGGGCUUAACCUAGGAACUGCAUCGAUGACUGAUAAGCUAGAGUACUGUAGAGGGUAGUGGAAUUUCCGGUGUAGCGGUGAAAUGCGUAGAGAUCGGAAGGAACACCGGUGGCGAAGGCGGCUACCUGGACAGCUACUGACACUGAGGCGCGAGAGCGUGGGGAGCAAACAGG